rnacentral:rRNA from 1 species
UGCGGGGGGGGCAAGCGUUGUUCGGAAUUACUGGGCGUAAAGGGCUCGUAGGCGGCCAACUAAGUCGGAUGUGAAAUCCCCAAGCUUAACUUGGGAACUGCAUCCGAUACUGGAUGGCUUGAAUCCGGGAGAGGGAUGCAGAAUUCCAGGUGUAGCGGUGAAAUGCGUAGAUAUCUGGAGGAAUACCGGUGGCGAAGGCGGCAUCCUGGACCGGCAUUGACGCUGAGGAGCGAAAGCUAGGGGAGCAAACGGG